UUUCUAGAUAAUUCUUUAGAGCAGAGAAGAAGAUGCGAACAUUCUGGAUGCUGCUUCAAACCCUGGUGGCCCACCCUGGCGUUCUUCUACUCAAUCGAUUGCAACUGAUGACCAAGCCUUAGCUUUGCAUUCUGACGUGAAUUUCUCUGGAGCACCUCUGAGUUCACUGUGCCCUGAGGCAGGGAGGAUGUUGGCAAAGGUUGUGCAAUUUGGCUUUACAACUACCGACAGGAGCUCGCUAGAUACCCUGCUUUGACUACAGAAAUCUUUCUAGUCCAAGAUUUAGAAAUAGAGUAUAUAUAUUGUGAUCCUUGUCUUGUACAAUUUCGGCAUUUGGAUCCUUUGUUUGAAAAUUUGUUUAAAGCAUGAAAUCUUUAGAGGGCGACUUAUUUUUAAUUGAGGUUUGAGUGGAUUCAAAGAGCCGGAGAAUUCUUUCCUCACCACAUAAAGUUGGAAUAGUUCUAUGAUUUAUUCCAUUCAAUUAGCUUUUAAUACCAGACAAGUUCUCUGUGGAUUUGAACUUUGGAUUUUACCGUAACUUUAUGUUUUAUUUUUUUAUAUCAUACCAUUCAAGUACCGCUAAAACAACUUAAUAUCAUAUGUGGUGAAGCUCAACAGAGAGCUAAAGCGGGGAGGGUUUUUCGAUAUUAUGGCCACAAUCUCAAGGGAUCUGUACUUUAUAUAAUUCCAUAUCAGAAAGCACUUUCUUUACUCCUUAUUUUUAUAUUUAGAUUGUUGUACAGGAUUGAGUUUAGCUUCAGUAUCAGCAGUUUCAACUAGCUAAGUCUCCUCUAGUUUAAGCACCUUCAGUAGUUCUUCCACGACUAUUUCAUAAGUAGCACCAACACCUCCAAGAAUAAUAGGAGCAGUUCUGGUUUUUACAUAAAUCACAUUGCCCAUUUCAUUUUCUUUGAUUAUCUGCCCCCUGUUCCUCUUAUAAGGCACCACAUCACAACUACCAUUUCCAUAAUACCUCCCCCCAUUUCUAAUUUCUUAUACAUUUUAAUUUAUUGUUCAAAUAUUAUAUUAUAUUUAGACCACCAUCCCCAAAUUGUGAAAAAAAUUCCACCCGUCCUCAAAAUCUGUCCCCAAGUCCCCCCUUUCCAAAACCCUGCUGAACCAUGUUUACUUUCGUUGGCAUAUUUUAACUCUAUUUUGACAAUAUUAGACUAUCACGUCACAACAAUUCGAUAUUUUUCAAUGUCUGGAAACCUUAACCACAUCAAAUGUAUCUUUAAUAAUUUAGUUCUUCAUUUCACUCAAAACUCUCAACAUUACAUUGAUAAAUAAUUUGUACAUUG